rnacentral:rRNA from 1 species
UACGUAGGGGGCAAGCGUUGUCCGGAUUCAUUGGGCGUAAAGAGCGUGUAGGCGGCCAGGUAGGUCGGUUGUGAAAACUGGAGGCUCAACCUUCAGACGUCGACCGAAACCAUCUGGCUAGAGUCCGGGAGAGGAGAGUGGAAUUCCUGGUGUAGCGGUGAAAUGCGCAGAUAUCAGGAGGAACACCGGUGGCGAAGGCGGAUCUCUGGGCCGUAACUGACGCUGAGGAGCGAAAGCAUGGGUAGCGAACAGG